rnacentral:rRNA from 1 species
UAAUUGAAGAGUUUGAUCAUGGCUCAGAUUGAACGCUGGCGGCAGGCCUAACACAUGCAAGUCGAGCGGCAGCACAGAGGAACUUGUUCCUUGGGUGGCGAGCGGCGGACGGGUGAGUAAUGCCUGGGAAAUUGCCCGGUAGAGGGGGAUAACCAUUGGAAACGAUGGCUAAUACCGCAUAACCUCGUAAGAGCAAAGCAGGGGACCUUCGGGCCUUGCGCUACCGGAUAUGCCCAGGUGGGAUUAGCUAGUUGGUGAGGUAAGGGCUCACCAAGGCGACGAUCCCUAGCUGGUCUGAGAGGAUGAUCAGCCACACUGGAACUGAGACACGGUCCAGACUCCUACGGGAGGCAGCAGUGGGGAAUAUUGCACAAUGGGCGCAAGCCUGAUGCAGCCAUGCCGCGUGUAUGAAGAAGGCCUUCGGGUUGUAAAGUACUUUCAGUAGGGAGGAAGGUGGUUAAG